AUUGAACGCUGGCGGCCGGCCUAACACAUGCAAGUCGAACGAGUGGCGGACGGGUGAGUAAUGUCUGGGAAACUGCCUGAUGGAGGGGGAUAACUACUGGAAACGGUAGCUAAUACCGCAUACCAUCGGAUGUGCCCAGAUGGGAUUAGCUAGUGGGUGGGGUAACGGCUCACCAAGGCGACGAUCCCUAGCUGGUCUGAGAGGAUGACCAUCCACACUGGAACGAGGACACGGUCCAGACUCCUACGGGAGGCAGCAGUGGGGAAUAUUGCACAAUGGGCGCAAGCCGGAUGCAGCCAUGCCGCGGGUAUGAAGAAGGCCUUCGGGUUGUAAAGUACUUUCAGCGGGGAGGCGUUACCCGCAGAAGAAGCACCGGCUAACUCCGUGCCAGCAGCCGCGGUAAUUC
rnacentral:rRNA from 1 species